AGCAUUUGGGCCAGAAUGCCCGGAGGACGGAGUUGUUUUUUUCUGAGAUUUGGCUUUGGCUGAAAUUUGGGCCGAGGAAGAGCCUGGGGUCUGAGCCGGACUCUGCCGCGUGAGAGCCCCGGCAUGUGAAGGUCUGUCCUGCUUCCAGAGGGCAGGGGCUCUGUCCAGCGUGGCAUAGCUUAUUUUGGGCGUCAUGAAUAUUUGUUGAGCAAAAACUCAGCCACCAGUCUGUGUAGGAUGUUUACAGAGAGCCCUCACCAGUGGGCCAGGUACCUCGCUGGCCUUGGACCCGUCUGGCUGAGACCCAGGCUGCUCUCCAGGGCUCCAGGCUGAUGUGGGUGACAGGCAUCAAAGGGACCUUUGUAGGAUGUACUACCAGCAUCCAUCAGGAAGUGUUGAAACAGGAAGUGGUCACCUCCCAUCUUCUGGGCAUCCCAGCCGAGACGCUGUCACGGAAAACGCUCACCUCGGCCGAGUCCUGCGUACGAGAUUACCCAUCGCCGCCUCCCUCCCAGUGACCCAGGACCACCUAUGAGCAUCAGGGCCCAGCGGAUGAUCUCAAACUCUUCACGGUUAUUACAGGUGUCAACAGGUUGGAAAUAAAGCCAGAAGCUCUGUCGAGAUUCGGCCGUCAAGAUCCAAAAAGGAGCAUUCUGCUUCCCGGCAUUCCUUGCCAAGGAUGAUCUCAGAUUCAUCUGUUCCCAUUCACAGACACAGCCCAGCCUUCCAGACCUCGGAGUGCUACCAACCUCCCACGACCACAGUCCUGAUCAGCUUGCAGGGGUGCUCAGGUCACCCACGAGUGAACACCUGCCCAGAGACAGAAUGAGCCCAACUGAAGACCACACAACCCAGCUCCCCCAACCCCAUCCCUACGCUCGUGCCUGCACUCAACCGAAAAGCAAAAGACAAGGUGCCUACAAGAUAGAAAGUAUCCUGAUAUAAAACCUCGAGAGGAAUGGGACGCCUGGGUGGCUCAGCCGGUUUGUGGCAAUCUCACGGUUCGAGGGUUCCGGCCCCGCGUCGGGCUCUGUGCUGACAGCUCGGAGCUUGGAUCCUGCUUCAGAUUCUGUGCCUCCCUCUCUCUCUGCCCCUCCCCUCCUCGUGCUCCGUCUCCCUCUCUCUCUCAAAAAUAAACAUUAAAAAAAUGUUUUUAAUGCAAGAAGGAUAGCAGAAAGGAAAUCUCGUAAAGUAGCAUAAAAUAGCAUAACCAUCCUAUCAGACCCCUCCCCAGUACACUCUGCAGAGCUUAACUAUUUUCAGUAUGCAUAGUCAUACCUGUAGCUCCUUUUUUUGUUUAAGUAUAGCCUAGUUCAGCCUAGUGCUCGCAGGUGCGGGAUACAGUCAGCCCAGCUCCGCAAAGCAAGGUCAGGUCAGGAUGCACCAGCCCCUCUGCAUCCCAGAGAGCAUCCUUCUCCUCCUCUAAGCCUCAGACUCUGCAGAUGCAAACCCAGAAGCUGCGGGGAGGUGGAGGAUGUGACUUGCCCGUGGUCACUCUGCCGUCGCCGAGUCGAGGCGGGAUUGGGGCCAGGAGGACCCGGCUCCUAGGUACCUGAUCCGGCAUAUUUUGAGGGAGGAACUGAGGCCCAGAGGCAGAAGUGGUCUGCUCAGGGAGACUUCUGAACCCAGGACCGCUGACAGCGCGGUCGUCAUUGAGUACCCGCUCCAUCACAGGGUCGUGCCAAGAGCGGCCAUCUUCACCCUGUCUGCCGUGUCCUCCAAAGUGAUCACACUUACCCUCCGGUGGCUUUUACGCGACCGAGUCCCUGGUGUGUCUCAUGAUUGAAAGGGAAAAUUAACAGUUAAUGGAAAGGAAGGGAACGGGGGAAAAGGGAGGAGGGAGGGAGAGAGGGAAGGAGGGAGGGAGAUCAACCUCAGAAGGACCGUCCCCGGGGAGGUGAGUUAGACUACGAAAGAGCUGAUUUCUACACCUGGUUGCAACUCCUGAGAGCUUUUACACCUGGCAACAGGCUUCUUCAUGUCUUUGCGCCUCGUCCAAUGGCAGUCUGCCUGAUGCAGUCACGGACACCAUCGAAGACAGCGAUCCUAAUAAUACUUCCGAAGAGCUUGCUCUGCGCUCGGCCCUGCCAUAUGUCCUUUAUGACCUUGCGUCCCCGGCUGCUCAAAAUGACCCCACGGGAGGACAUGGAUCCCACCCCACCUUGCAGACGGGGAAACUGAGACACGAGUGUGGUCCCAUCACGUGCGCAGGGCCACGGGGCUAGGGAGUACUGUGCUGGCACGUGAGCGCGGGGUCGGUGUUUGUCAGCAUCUGGCCACGCUGCCUCUGCUCUCCAGCUGGGCAGCAUGUUGACGGGGCCGCUGGCCACUGGGUGGGAGGAUGUUUGUGACAGAGCCCGGCAACGGUGCUGGGGUGCUCAGCAGACAGUCACUCUUUGCCUGGCCUGCCGGCUUCCACGCCCUCAAGGCCGGGCUUUGGAAUCCACAGACACCCCCCCCCCCGUGCCCCCUGCCCCUUGCCCCCUCUCCUCCCAGGCCUCCCUUCCGUUAACCCCAGACCUGAUGGUCCCUAUGAGGGUGGCCGCUCCCGGCAGGGGUUCCGAGCCUGCUCAGGCCAGCCCCUUGGCCAACCGCUCGGUGCCCAGCACCCCAUUAUCAUUCCACCGCCUUCCAACAGAAAUUAUAAGCACUUUGUGUCAACCCCCGUCUGCCCCAGCAGCUGCGCCGAGGGAGAGCGAUUGAGGUCAGCGGAGGCAGACAGCCUACCCAUCACGCCCGCCGCGGCCAUUCCUCACGCAGCGACAUGCAAUCUCCCGCCGAGGGUCACCUCUGGGGAAGCGAUUCCUCCAAGCCCAGAAGAAGUGCCAAGUGGCAGCGUGGCCGAAUCAUCAUGUGAAACACAUUGGAAAUAGCAGCCUCAGUAAUAGAUGGUUCACCAAAGCGGCCCCUUCCUGCCGCGUGUGACCAAGACAGGAUUUACUGUAAGCACAUUAACCUAUUCGUGCUGUAGCACAUGGCCCAGGAGCCCGCUUGGCAGGCAGCACAGGGCAAACCCCAGCCGGGCUGUGGGGGGACGGACAGGAGCGAGCAGAUUUUAUCAGCCGGGGAAAGGAAGAGGUCAGCAGAGGCGCCCAGCCUGCUGCCGGCCCCCGGUCCCCGGGCCCCAUCCCAGGGAGACGGGGCCGAAAGGGGGGCUUGGCCGAUCGCAGCCUGCUGUCGCCUCCGAGCCCCGUGGACUCUGAACUAAGGCUGGAUCAGAGGAGAGGCGUCUGGGUUUCUUCCUGCUCCUGCGGACAUCGGCAGUGUGGCAACUCCAGACUCUCCAGACCAGUGU